rnacentral:rRNA from 1 species
AGAUUGAACGCUGGCGGCAGGCCUAACACAUGCAAGUCGAGCGGCAGCACGGGUACUUGUACCUGGUGGCGAGCGGCGGACGGGUGAGUAAUGCCUAGGAAUCUGCCUGAUAGUGGGGGAUAACGCUCGGAAACGGACGCUAAUACCGCAUACGUCCUACGGGAGAAAGCAGGGGACCUUCGGGCCUUGCGCUAUCAGAUGAGCCUAGGUCGGAUUAGCUAGUUGGUGGGGUAAUGGCUCACCAAGGCGACGAUCCGUAACUGGUCUGAGAGGAUGAUCAGUCACACUGGAACUGAGACACGGUCCAGACUCCGUACGGGAGGCAGCGAGUGGGGAAUAGUUGGAACAAGUGGGACGAAAGCCUGAUCCAGCCAUGCCGCGUGUGUGAAGAAGUCGUUCGAUUGUAAAGCGUAACGUUUAAGUUGGAGGAGG